CUGCAGCCCGAGUGGUGAUCGAUUUUAUUGAGCCUAAAGCGUCCGUAGCCGGACUAGUAAACCCUUGGGUAAAUUGGGCAGCUUAACUGUCCAAAUUCCGAGGGGACUGCUAGUCUUGGGACCGGGAGAGGUCAGAGGUACUCAAGGGGUAGGGGCUAAAUCCUGUAAUCCUUUGGGGACCACCAGUGGCGAAGGCGUCUGACUAGAACGGAUCCGACGGUAAGGGACGAAGCCCUGGGGCGCAAACCGGAUUAGAUACCCGAGUAGUCC
rnacentral:rRNA from 1 species